rnacentral:rRNA from 1 species
GUGGGGAAUAUUGGGCAAUGGGCGCAAGCCUGACCCAGCAACGCCGCGUGAAGGAAGAAGGCUUUCGGGUUGUAAACUUCUUUUACCAGGGACGAAACAAAUGACGGUACCUGGUGAAUAAGCCACGGCUAACUACGUGCCAGCAGCCGCGGUAAUACGUAGGUGGCGAGCGUUAUCCGGAUUUAUUGGGUGUAAAGGGCGUGUAGGCGGGACAGCAAGUCAGAUGUGAAAACCAGAGGCUCAACCUCUGGCCUGCAUUUGAAACUGUUGUUCUUGAGUGUCGGAGAGGUAAUCGGAAUUCCGUGUGUAGCGGUGAAAUGCGUAGAUAUACGGAGGAACACCAGUGGCGAAGGCGGAUUACUGGACGAUAACUGACGCUGAGGCGCGAAAGCCAGGGGAGCGAACGGGAUUAGAAACCCUUGUAGUCC